CCCCGAACUAUGGCUCCUUUGAAGCUCCCACUUCAGUCUGAGGGACUGGCCUGGAGAAGACAGCCUUCCUUUGGGUGGGAGACAGGGGACAUAAAGACUCCUCGAGGGUGACGCACCAGGCAACAACACGGUGUUUUCGUGGUUUCCUGCAUGUGGGCCCAUCUGCGCUUGUCCACUGUGGCCUUGAAGCCGAACUUUCCUCUGAAAAGCCUGACGUCCCCCGGGUCACCACCAUUACUCGGAGAGCCAGCAACUUCCUCCAUGCCCAAUGGACGCCACAGGAGGGCGUGAGGACAUGGCAUGAAACUUGGCCAAUUUAUACCACGUUGAGUGGUAUAAAUCCAGCAAACCGUCAGCUCUGCCCUCUUUUAAACUUUCCCAGCCUGCACCUCAUCACUAAAAGGCACUUGGAUCGACAGCCCACUCUGGCUCUAACUGAGCGCAUUGUCCUUCAGGGCGUCUGUGGCCAGUGGCUCUCAAAGUGGGGUCCCCAGACCAGCAGCA